rnacentral:rRNA from 1 species
GACGAACGCUGGCGGCGUGCUUAACACAUGCAAGUCGAGCGGUAAGGCCCUUUCGGGGGUACGACGAGCGGCGAACGGGUGAGUAACACGUGGGUGGCCUGCCCUCAGCUCUGGGAUAAGCCUGGGAAACCGGGUCUAAUACUGGAUAUGACUCCAUGACGCAUGUUGUGGGGUGGAAAGCCUUGUGCGGCUGAGGAUGGGCCCGCGGCCUAUCAGCUUGUUGGUGGGGUGAGGCCUACCAAGGCGACGACGGGUAGCCGGCCUGAGAGGGCGACCGGCCACACUGGGACUGAGACACGGCCCAGACUCCUACGGGAGGCAGCAGUGGGGAAUCUUGCGCAAUGGGCGAAAGCCUGACGCAGCGACGCCGCGUGAGGGAUGACGGCCU